GCGCCAGUGGUUUAGCGGUAAAAUCCAUCGUUGCCAAACAUGUGAGAUCCACAUGAAUAGUAACAUCGAUGGGCCCCCGGUUCGACUCCGGGCUGGCGCA
rfam:Valsa mali strain 03-8 chromosome 12, whole genome shotgun sequence.